rnacentral:piRNA from 1 species
GAUUCAUGUAGAGAUUGAUGACCUCAUCAU